GCCCACAGGGUCCACAGGAGCCGCCCUCAGAGGCCUGGACACUCACCGCCUGGACCGACUCUGUCAACCACAAGCCACUGGAGGGCAGAGCGUGGCCUGGGGCACACAGGGAGGCUGGGGGUCCUUGGGAUUAAAGCCAGGCCAUCUACACCUCCCGCUUAGUCCAGGGCACCCGGCACUCCACCUGAACCUGACAGGUGCCUGCACCCGGAGUCAUGUCUGAGGCCCCAAUUUACCACAAUGUCCCUGGUUUUCCGUCUGAGGAAACAGAUUUACGUCAGUGACCCUGGAUUUACGUCAGUGAUCCCAGUUUUACGUUAGUGACCCCAGGUUUACGUCAAUGCUGGUGGCUUUACGUCACGGAUUUACGUCAGUGACCACAGUUUUACAUCAGUGGCCCCAGCUUUACGGCCAAGGCCCCAAUUUAUGUUGGUGGCCUUGGGUUUACCUCACAGACAAUAGACUUACGUCAGUGGCCCCGGCUUACAGCUGUGGCCCUGGAUUCACCUGUAUGGCCCCAGUUUUGACUGCCACCGGGCGCAGGUCCUGGCUGUGGUGGCCGCAGGGUCUGAGGCUUGAGGUCCACAGGACUGUACACAACUGCCUCCGUGAAAAGCAGGUGUCUGAGGGUCUGGUUUGGAGUCAGCCGGAGUCUCUUGCUGACUGACACUAUCCCAUUAGGGACGCUGUCGGGUCUGGGCAAACCCUGAAUGGCAACACAGACUCAGCCCGGUGUCCACAUGUCCGCGGUUGUCUCAGCUUCGUCCACAGCACCCAUGGCCGCAGGCCCAGGUGUCCGUGAGGGGUGGGCCAGCGCAGACGCAGGGUGUUCACACACGCACAACGGGACGCUGCUCAGCCAGGGAGGAGGAUGUGCAGCCGUUGGGACGGCGUGCGGGCCCAGAGGCCUCAGGUCCACCCACGGCAGGCCUUUCUCCAUCCAUUCCCUGUGGAGUCAGUUAAGUCCCUUGACGCUCCAAGUUUCUCUUUUCCUGGGGUCCCGCCAUCCGCUGAAGCCUCUUCCCCUUUGUCAGCACUGGGUUCCUGACGCACUUCUGCAGUCUGUGACUCAGCAGAGCAGCCAUAUUUGCUUGACAAUAGCCAGCAAAGCAAACAGUUCUGAUUCCUUUUGUAAAUUAACAUUUAAAAUAUCAAUAACUAUUCAUAGGGGCCAGAAGAUUUAAUGUGAAUCACUGGUGGUUCCGAGGGACUUAAAUAC
ensembl:lncRNA